ACGGGGAGCAGCAGGCGCGAAACCUUYACACUGCACGAACGUGCGAUAAGGGGAUUCCAAGUGCGAGGGCAUAUAGUCCUCGCUUUUCCCUACCGUAAGGUGGUAGGUGAAUAAGAGCUGGGCAAGACCGGUGCCAGCCGCCGCGGUAAUACCGGCAGUUCGAGUGAUGGCCGAUCUUAUUGGGCCUAAAGCGUCCGUAGCCGGCCGGGCAAGUCCGUUGGGAAAUCUGUUCGCUUAACGAACAGGCGUCCAGCGGAAACUGCUCGGCUUGGGACCGAAAGACCUGAGGGGUACGUCCGGGGUAGGAGUGAAAUCCUGUAAUCCUGGACGGACCGCCGAUGGGGAAACCACCUCAGGAGGACGGAUCCGACGGUGAGGGACGAAAGCUAGGGUCUCGAACCGGAUUAGAUACCCAGGUAGUCCUAGCUGUAAACGAUGCUCGCUAGGUGUGGCACUGGCUACGAGCCAGUGCUGUGCCGUAGGGAAGCCGAGAAGCGAGCCGCCUGGGAAGUACGUCCGCAAGGAUGAAACUUAAAGGAAUUGGCGGGGGAGC
rnacentral:rRNA from 1 species